AGUGAACGCUGGCGGUAGGCCUAACACAUGCAAGUCGAACGGCAGCACAGUAAGAGCUUGCUCUUACGGGUGGCGAGUGGCGGACGGGUGAGGAAUACAUCGGAAUCUACUUUUUCGUGGGGGAUAACGUAGGGAAACUUACGCUAAUACCGCAUACGACCUACGGGUGAAAGCAGGGGAUCUUCGGACCUUGCGCGAUUGAAUGCGCCGAUGUCGGAUUAGCUAGUUGGCGGGGUAAAGGCCCACCAAGGCGACGAUCCGUAGCUGGUCUGAGAGGAUGAUCGGCCACACUGGAACUGAGACACGGUCCAGAGUCCUACGGGAGGCAGCAGUGGGGAAUAUGGGACAAUGGGCGCAAGCCUGAUCCAGCCAUACCGCGUGGGUGAAGAAGGCCUUCGGGUUGUAAAGCCCUUUUGUUGGGAAAGAAAAGCAGCAGGUUAAUACCCCGCUGUUCUGACGGUACCGAAAGAAUAAGCACCGGCUAACUUCGUG
rnacentral:rRNA from 1 species